UCCUCAAUCUGUAUGUACACAGAGCUGUGGUCCAGGAUUCUGGAAAGUUCUACAAGAAGAAAGACCCAUUUGCUGUUUUUCUUGUGUAUUUUGUCCGGAGUGGCACAUUUCCAACCAGACAGGCCACAGAGGAAGACAAUGCAGCCACUCCUGAUGAGACCUAACAGACUAAGAUCAGAAGGAAGGAAAUGGAGACCUCACCUAUCAGUGGACUUGGGGAGGAUCAUUCAUGAAGAAAGGGAAAAGUAAAGUUUGAACAUGUUCCUCUCCUGUCCUCCUUUUUAUUCUCCUCCCCUCCCCUUCCCUUCCCUGCCUUCCUUGCUCAGUGUGAAUUUACAAACAUUGCACUUGAAUGGAUGCAGUUCUUCGAAAGCAUUGCCA